UUUUCUGCAGCAGGACGAGGAAAUGCAAUCGUCUCCAAAUGAAAGACAACAGCGAAGCAGAUCCUCUGUGAAGGAGGAGGCCCGUCUGAUGGAGCUGUUCGUCCAUCGGUGGUCGUUUGUCGUCAGAUCCAGUAGAUCCAGAGAUGUGGGUGUAGACGACAUCAGGAGGAGACGUCAGUGAUGGACCUGUGAGGACCAGAACCCAGACCCCAGACCAGACCCUCCCACAAAACCUGAAUGACCCCUCUGGAAUCUGA